AAGUGUUUCUCAAGUGUUUCAUGUUCAAGUGUAUGCUCAAGGUUCGUCUGCCCAGCGUGUUCCACGACUUGCACGAGAACAUGUGCUUCCUUUCACGACUCACACCCGGUUUAUGCGCACCCGGUUUUAACGUUAGCAAAUCAACUUUUUGCACGCCGUACGUUGCGAAACAUCCUUCACACGGAAAGCACGAAGUUGUUCUCGAACCCGCAUAGCGCGCCAGAGUACUCGUGACGUGAAUCCCAAAAGCAUAACGACUGCGAAACAAUGUGUCGGGCUUCACAAGCGGCUCCUGUGCAAGAAGGGGAAGAUAGGCACCCAUAGACCAACAGAAAUGGUGUCUGAGAGAUGACCCUUGCCCGUAGAGGACGCAGUGCAGCAGAAUAAGUGCGGUUAGUGUGCAGGUGAGAUUGAUGUGAAGUUGGUGUAGGCCUGUAGGCUCCAAGAACGUUGAGUAUGUGAAACAGAGACAUGGAGGAACGACUGGAUGAGGAUGGACUACGCUGGAAAGUUCGGACAGACAGCAUUGCCUUCGGCAAGAUGCGAGCAAAGGGUGUCCAUCCUCGUUCGCACUCUCGUGCCGAUUCAGCUGUACCCGGCGCAUGGCGCAUUCCUUCCUCGGAGUGACACGCUAGCUGCGAAUGGGACCGCACGGACUUAUAGACAUGUGCCACGCGCAGGAGCGUGUCCCGUAAACUUUUGUGGAACACUGUACCUGGGAGCCGGCACACUCUGAUGCCGCGAGGCUGUCAGUUUCACAUUGCGCAGGUGUCAUCUUAGAACAGCAGCAAUUUAGGUGGUGACGAUUGGGUGGUGACUUUGGUAGUGACGCUAUUAAAGCUAUGGGGUUCCUAUACCCCAUAGCUUUAAUAGCUUAGUCAUUUUGUGAUAUUUUAAGGAUGAGCCUCACAGUGUGGACACAAUCCCUCCAUUGUAGAGAAAGGUAAGGAGUGCCUUGAGGGCAGAGAGUUGGUGAACUGGAUUUGUGCAUUGACCAAGUAACAUUGUCUCAUCGUCAUCAUCUAUUGUUGUUGUUGUUGUCAUGGUGAGAGGGUGACAGCCAAUCUGAUUUAAAGACACCAAGUGUGGCCUGCUAUUUUUGUGCAUGAUUUUCGCCCCUUGUGUAAUAAAUAUUGAAGUGCUGGGGUCGGAUUCGCAAACACCAUCGUAAGUAACGAUAAAAUGCGCCUAAGACGUCGCAGCCUGCGACACGCGUACGAUGGCGUCGUAAGCGGGAUUCACAAAGCUAUCGCGGUGGAGAGGGUGCCCCUUUUCCCGAGGAAGAGAAAGUUGCUCAUUUCCUAUCACGUGCAACUCGGAGAGAAACAGCCGAAGGGUGCGAGACUAUGUUUUCGCUAUGGUAACGAUGACGAAAAUCUGCAAUCUCCACUCCACGGGACUAUUGUACAAUAUUGUUGGUACACUAUUGUUGGUACAACAAUAGUCGUCCCGUUAGAAGAAGUCGUCCGUCGCGUUACGUGCUCUUGGUCUUUCGGUAGCCAUUAUGGAUGCCAUGCAAUCACAAGCGAAACGCGUUCCACGACCCCAGCAGGGACAUUCCCAAUAUGUUCGUCUGGGGGAGGGGGGCGUGUUCUGUAGGAGGGGUGUGGCACACAUAUUUGCAGAUUUUCUGACUUUUUUUGGCCUUUAUUGCAGAC